rnacentral:tRNA from 1 species
GCUCUGGUGGUGGAAUGGUAGACACGAGGGACUUAAAAUCCCUUGCCCGCAAGGGCGUGUGGGUUCAAGUCCCACCCGGAGUACCA